UUAUAACCAUGCAACAUACAACAUUAUGAAAUUCUACAUUAUGAAACCAUAUAAUUAAUUUAUAGAUUAUGAAAGUUUACAUUAUGAAAUUCAACAUUAUAAAACCAUAUAACCAGUUUAUACACUUGAGAAAACAUAUAACCAGUUUAUACUCAAGAAAAGUAAUCAUUAUCAAACUCUACAUUAUGAUCCCUACCCUAAAUUCCAACA
rnacentral:lncRNA from 1 species